ACACGGGGGCGACGGACACGGGCGUGUGAUGGCUUGUAGGCCGUGUGUGAGGCACGGGCUCAGAAAAAUAGCCUGUGUGGGAAUCUGGGUCAGGCCGUGUGAUCCACACGGGCAAGGCAUACGGGCGUGUGAGCCCCUUUAAUCUGAAAUGUUCUGUAAGGUUGCAUGGGUCGCCCAAGUCGACUGUGACCUGUAGUAGAGUCGCAGUAGAUGGAUCGGUGUGAUAGAGAACUCGAUGGUGACCACUGGUAAUCCUCAACAGUAGAUAGAUCGGUGUUACGGAGGACUCGAUGGUGACCACCGGUAGACAUUUACGGAUUUUUGUGUAACACUUUAUUUUGCCUGCUUUACUUAAAUAUAUGUUUUGGGAUUAAUAUGUAUUUGGGCUCAAACUAUUCUUGGGUUUAUUUUGGGAUUUUA